GAGAUCGCCCAGACACCGGGACAGUCGGACACACACACUGACUGGGACCCACAGAUCCACACCCCCAGCGAUGCGUACACAGACCGACCGACGGGCGUUCCAGGGUCCACAAAGUCACGUGCAGGCAGAGCCCAGAGGAUGUACUCACAGACACAAGGCCACAGUCUCGCAAAUCCACACCAUGGACAGGGGCAUGAGCACACACACUCACAUACUGAUGGGGCUCACACUUACACACACCCAGACGGAAAUGCACAGACUCACUAACAGGGUCCCCUGGACAAGCAGACGGACACAAUGACAGGGCCACACACAGUUGCAGAAACACCCACACUGAUGAUCACACCUGGGCCCACAAACUGUGUUCACAAACAACCCUACCGAACAGGCACCCACACCACACACACGGUGGUGCAACCACACAGACAUAGGCGGAGUGCUUAUCAGGAAACACAAACUUGCUGAUAGGCACAGGGGACACACACAUACACACAGACACCUGUUACAGGGAUACCUGGAUACACGGCCAAAUCCAAAUCACACUCCCACAGGGACAUACACAAAUGCACUCACACAAUUUCACAGCUAACACAUUAAAACUAUCAGAAAGUGACAUUCGCCCGACACGGUGGCUCAUGCCUGUAAUCCCAGCACUUUGGGAGGCCAAGGUGCGUGGACUGCCUGAGGUCAGGAAUUCGAGACCAGCCUGACCAACAUGAUGAAACCCCAUCUCUACUAAAAAUACAAAAUUAGCCGGGCGUUGUGGCGCAUGCCUGUAAUCCCAGCUACUUGGGAGGCUGAGGCAGGAGAACUGCUUGAACCCGGGAGGCGGAGGUUGCAGUGAGCCGAGAUAGUGCCAUUGCACUCUAGCCUGGGCAACAAGAGCAAACUCC
rnacentral:lncRNA from 1 species